rnacentral:rRNA from 1 species
CACCGCGGUUAUACGAGUGACCCAAGUUGUUGAACCACGGCGUAAAGAGUGGUUAAGAGAUAUUUUACACUAAAGCCGAACACUUACAGAGCCGUCAUACGCCCCCGAAAGUAAGAAGCCCAACCACGAAAGUGGCUUUAUAUCAUCUGACUCCACGUAAGCUAUGAUA